UACGAAGGGGGCUAGCGUUGCUCGGAAUCACUGGGCGUAAAAGGUGCGUAGGCGGGUCUUUAAGUCAGGGGUGAAAUCCUGGAGCUCAACUCCAGAACUGCCUUUGAUACUGAAGAUCUUGAGUUCGGGAGAGGUGAGUGGAACUGCGAGUGUAGAGGUGAAAUUCGUAGAUAUUGGGAAGAACACCAGUGGCGAAGGCGGCUAACUGGUCCGGAUCUGACGCUGAGGUGCGAAAGCGUGGGGAGCAAACAGG
rnacentral:rRNA from 1 species